AGUCGUACGAGAAACCGGAACUUCGGUUCCGGGAGUAAAGUGGCGCACGGGUGAGUAACGCGUAGGUAAUCUACCCUUGGGUUUGGAAUAACCCGCCGAAAGGCGUGCUAAUACCGGAUAAAAUCUUUCAGAGGGAUCUGAAAGAUCAAAGGUGGCCUCUCCAUGGAUGCUACUGCCUUAGGAUGAGCCUGCGUCCCAUUAGCUUGUUGGUAGGGUAAUGGCCUACCAAGGCUACGAUGGGUAGCUGGUCUGAGAGGAUGAUCAGUCACACUGGAACUGGAACACGGUCCAGACUCCUACGGGAGGCAGCAGUGGGGAAUAUUGGACAAUGGGCGCAAGCCUGAUCCAGCAAUGCCGCGUGUGUGAUGAAGGCCUGCGGGUUGUAAAGCACUUUCAGUAGGGAAGAAAUACUCAAAGCCAAUACCUUUGAGGGUUGACGUUACCUACAGAAGAAGCACCGGCUAACUCUGUGCCAGCAGCCGCGGUAAGACAGAGGGUGCAAGCGUUAAUCGGAAUU
rnacentral:rRNA from 1 species